CCCGCGCCGCGGGCCUGUCGGGUGAGCUCAGCCCCCAGCGCGUGUGAGCCUACGGAACGCUGGGGCUGAGGCGGCAUGGCUCCGGACCGGGGCCUGGCGUCGGCGACACCGCGGGAGAAGCCCAGGACAGGGGACCCAGGCGGGGGCUCCCGGCCCCGGUACCGUCGGAGCCCGCCGCUUCCUGCUUUGUCUCUAGCUGGUGGGAUUCCUGGAGUUGUUUGGUGUUAGCACGGUCGUCCCUUUACUGAGCCUUCAUGUCAAGUCUUUUGGAGCGAGUCCAACAGUUGCUGGAAUAGUAGGCUCCUCCUGCGGCGUUUUGCAGUUCUUUUCCAGCACAUUGGUGGUAAGUCCUCUUCCACCUGGCAACACAUGUUGAAAGUAUAACCCUACGCCUCUGAGGCCACCCAUCAUGGCUGUAGUAAAAUAGGGGGUUGAGGUUUACCGAAAAGGAAGUGUGCAGACGGUGAGGACUGGCGGUGCCCUUAUUUCAAGAAGGAUCCCUCGGUCAUCUCUCUCCCUCAGUUGACCUCUGAGAAGACAUAGGCCUGAAGAGAUUGCGUGGCUGGAUCUGAAAGGACUCGCUGAGUCAGAAUGAGAGCCCGCUUUUUAAAUUGUAACAUGUUUUUCCCAUGAUUCCCUGCCAAAUUUGUACUAGGAGAAAAGAAUGUAAACAGAAGUUAUUACCAGUUUUGUUUGUUUCAAUUAAUUGACAGUCAUCAAAUCCAUUCAGAUCUUAGGAUUCUAUUUGAAGUUGGGCCUUUUUGAACUACAUGGCUUAUCAAUUAUAAAACUUAAGUGUAUAGACGGAGGAGCCACUGGGAGUGGUGGGUUGUACACCGGUCCUGAGGCCUCGGCGUCCAGUCAUUCGUGCAGUACAAACAGAAUGGUCAGUUUUGUCCCAGGGAUUGAUCAGCUGUGACCUUGGUCUAAAUAGCUGGUCUCACAGUGAGUGAACACCAUGUACAUACAACACUAUGUUCCCAAAGAGUGGCUCAUGUGUAAAAUAUAUUUUAUUA